rnacentral:rRNA from 1 species
UACGUAGGUGGCAAGCGUUGUCCGGAAUAACUGGGCGUAAAGCGCAUGUAGACGGCAUGAUAAGCCAAAUGUGAAAUGUAGGGGCUCAACCCCUGCACUGCGAUUGGAACUGUCAAGCUUGAGUGCAGGAGAGGCAAAUGGAAUUCCCAGUGUAGCAGUGAAAUGCGUAGAGAUUGGGAGGAACACCAGUGGCGAAGGCGAUUUGCUGGACUGCAACUGACGUUGAGAUGCGAAAGCUAGGGGGAG